GGCUAGGUGGCUCAGUUGGUUGGAGCAUUGUCCCAUAUACCAAAAGGUUUCAGGUUCAAUUCCCGGCCUGGGCA
rfam:Myotis lucifugus cont2.17246, whole genome shotgun sequence.